rnacentral:rRNA from 1 species
GUGGGGAAUCUUCCGCAAUGGACGAAAGUCUGACGGAGCGACGCCGCGUGAGUGAUGAAGGCCUUCGGGUCGUAAAGCUCUGUCAUCGGGGACGAACGGCCUCAGCAGGUAAUGGCUGGGGAUUGACGGUACCCGAGAAGGAAGCCACGGCUAACUACGUGCCAGCAGCCGCGGUAAUACGUAGGUGGCAAGUGUUGUCCGGAAUUAUUGGGCGUAAAGCGCGCGCAGGUGGGAUCUUAAGUCCAUUUUGAAAGUUCGGAGCUCAACUCCGUGAUGGGAUGGAAACUGGGAUUCUUGAGUACCGGAGAGGAAAGCGGAAUUCCCCGUGUAGCGGUGAAAUGCGUAGAUAUGGGGAGGAACACCAGUGGCGAAGGCGGCUUUCUGGACGGUGUCUGACACUGAGGCGCGAAAGCCAGGGGAGCGAACGGGAUUAGAUACCCUAGUAGUCC